CGUUCUCCAGCCCCAAUGACUUAAUCGGCUGACAUGAAGUAGAUAAGAUUGUAUUUGUACUGCAACUGGGCAUGGUUGAAGUUUAAUUGUGUUGGUAAACAGAGCCCAGUGGCUGCUUUGGAAUUUCUGCAGAUGCCACAGAAUUAUUCCUCUGCAGUUUGGGACGUGCCUCUUACAUCUUUCACUGAAAUGAAAAUUGCUUCCUGACAGAGCAGAGGCCUCAGUGCUGGAACUAGAGGUGUGGUAGCCCUCUAAGAUUCCAAAGGAUCUUUCGCUUAACACGGAAGAGGAAACCAGGGCAAAUUUCUGGCAAAAUCAAAUGCCAUCUCCUCACUGCAAAAUGCUCGUGUGUUUCAGGAGAGACAAUAAUUGCUAAAUAUCUAGAAAUCUCCUUGCUGGGUUCUCAGGGGCCCCAAGGAUCAAUAAGCCAGGCUGCUGCUGAGAGAAGUCACCGGGUCACUGAGAAAGAGAUCACCUUUGGCUCCUGGUGUUCACCGACGCUGGCGGAAGCAGCAUUUCUCUUGGAUCCAGCAGAUUCACUGGGAACUGGACUAAAAACAUUUUCCUUCACUGUGGGAAAAUCCUGAACAAUGUUUCAGACUUUCAGGAAGACAAAAGAGAUUGGCAUUGUAGCCAGAAUGGAAGUGCUGGCCGUGACACCAUCUCUGCCCCCAGGGGAGUAAGCUUCUGUUCAUUUUACUGCGGCCAUGUGAAUGUACGGCCACCAUAUUUUACCCGACACACAAGCAUUUGGACCCAGGAAGCCACUAGAAACCUUGGAGCCUAUGUUGCAUCUCUCAGUCAUGAGCAGGAUCAGGGCAAGGCCAGAGUAAAGCCCAAGAAAACCGCACUGGCUCUGGGGCUCUGACUGACAUCAUCUUUGUUGAUAGCUCUUUCUCCACUCUGAAGAAGAACCAGCUCACCUUCCGCCCCACCCAAUAAAACGGCUCGGUAAAUAUAAUUACUUGCACUAUCUAAUCAAUAGUGGAUUGCUCCUGGCCCCUGCUUGUUCAAUAUCAGUGUCUGGGAUCACGGAACCUUGAUACUCCCCUCAACAUGCCAAUUUCUGCUUAAUGUUAGAUAAACCACAUCUAGCAACCCCAUGUGCUAAUGAGAUUUUAUUGUGUCAUUAAUAAUACACAUCUUCAAGAUGUUUUUAACUCAUAUAACAUGAAAGAUGAGGCUGCAAAUAUUCAACACUUUCCAGUCAUAGAACUCCCAAAUGCCAAUUGAACAACCCAAAUCAAUGUUGUAUUAAGCAAGCUCAGAAAGUGAUUACGGAAUUUGGGAGACAACAAACGGCUAGGCAAAGAGAAACUGCUUUUCCAUUGAUUUUUCUUUUUUAAAAAUAGUUUGUUUUAUUGAGGUUGAUAUACAGUGCUAUGUUGAUUUCUGCUGUAUGGCAAAGUGAUUCAGUUAUACAUGUAUAUACAUAGUUUUUCAUAUUCUUUUCCAUUAUGGUUUAUCCCAGGAUAUUGAAUAUAGUUUGCUGUGCUGUAUGGUAGGAUCUUAUUGUUUACCCAUCCUAUGUAUAGUGGCUUACAUCCGUUAAUUCCACACGCCCAUACAUCCCUUCCUCACUCCCUUUCUCUAUGUCUGUGAGUCUGAGAUAAGUUAAUCUGUGUCACAUUUUAGAUUCCACAUCCAGUGAUCUUUUUCUAAGGAAGUGAAAGAACUCAAAAGCAGUCUUCAUUCAUAUUAAGAGGCCUGUUAGCCUCUGGUAACUGGUAGCAUUUGUCAUUCCCAGAAGAGGUUAGCUCUUUGCUCUGAAUUUGGGUCAUGAGUUCCAAAGGAGCGCGGGGCUCUGAGGUCUCCAAGAUGCU
ensembl:lncRNA